UGCAUUCACUACUGUAAUUCGCUCUGGAUAAGAGCGUCUGCUAAAUGACAAAAA
rfam:Salmo salar isolate Sally breed double haploid chromosome ssa23, whole genome shotgun sequence.